rnacentral:rRNA from 1 species
UACGAAGGGUGCAAGCGUUACUCGGAAUCACUGGGCGUAAAGCGCACGUAGGCGGCUUGUUAAGUCAGGGGUGAAAUCCUGGAGCUCAACUCCAGAACUGCCUUUGAUACUGAGAAGCUUGAGUCCGGGAGAGGUGAGUGGAACUGCGAGUGUAGAGGUGAAAUUCGUAGAUAUUCGGAAGAACACCAGUGGCGAAGGCGACUCACUGGACAUGUAUUGACGCUGAGGUGCGAAAGCGUGGGGAGCAAACAGG